AUGCACUCACUUCACCCUUCCCAUCUUUUUCAGGAUUCAGCUUUGGAUCAUCUAACUCGUCUGUCCAGGGCUUUGGUGGCUGGAGAAGUUGAGUGGGUGUCCGUGUUCCUUUCCGAUCCUGAGACCAACCACGUUCUCAGCUCCUCUUCACUGAGCCACACUGGAGCAGUCCUCCACGUGGACAUUCGCACUGAAACACACACCCAGACAGAAACAGCAGAAACCAAAACUCUUGAGAUGCUUGAUCGCUUGUUCAUAUCUUUUCUAUUUCAUGUUGGUUAUUAUGGGUGCCCUCUCCCCACCGCCCCCCUCCCCGCUAUUAAACUCUGGUCCGUUUCCAUGCUGAAUAUAUGUGGGUUUUGUCAGGUCACAGCCUGGGAGAGGGGUUUCCUCAUUGCUGUGGCUCCGAGAAAACUUCCCAGCCUCCGGCCAACCAGCCAUGUAUAUAUCUUCAAGAUUGGCACCAGAAGUCAGCAGCAUCGGAGAUGGAUGCAUGAAGAGGGGGGGUGGAAGCUUCUCCUAUGACACCGACUCUCCUCGAGCCUUGGCCCUUGCCUACAGAAGAGACUGAGUGCUGGCCAGCCACCUUUGUGAGGCCAUAACUUGGGUAUCUCCUUUUCGUGUCCUUGCUCCUGUGGGACAUCCAGACCCUAGAGACACCAGCCUUGUGAUUGGGUGAAGGGCAGGGAACUCCCUUGUGCGGGCAUCAGCCAAGUCAGAAGAGCUCGUGGCACCUGAAAUCAAAGUGCAGGCAGCCAUGAGGCGAGCGUGGAAAACAGGCCAGUGCAUGCUGAUAACAAGGACACUGCCCUUGGACCAGCCCCGUCAGCUCAUCUUGUCGAGGUGGCUCUGGGUGCUUGUGUCCCGCAGCGGAUUUCUUUGACUCUGGAGAAGAGUGAUGGAGAAGAGCGCCUUUAUCUCCAGUGACAGUGACAUCGGCCACCCCGCCUGGUCCGCUGUCUGUUAACCACAGUGCAGAUAACCCCAGGACAGGCCUGCAGUUGAGACGACGCUGCUGUCACUGACACUGUGGCCACGUGUUUGCCAAGAUGGCAAAGGGCCCCCAACUUCCGUCUUAUCAAAGUGUGUGAAAUGCCAUAUCUUUUGGGUCUGGGCAUGUUUUACUUCUCAGGCCUAUGGUGUCCUAGGCAUUUGCUGACAAACAAGAACUGCUUCACAUCUAAAGCAGACGGGAGGAUUUGUCGUCUUUCAGGCCAGGAUGCAACCGUGCGUUGGCUCGGGUCACAGCAGGGGAGGGUCAGGAAGGAUUGUUCAAAGUUUUACAUCUUGGAAAAUUCUAUUUUAAAAUGUUUUAAUAAAAGUUUUCCAUGUGAUUGAAUCUGUCACGUUACAGCCAGUGUGAUCUCACUGGUUCGGUCAGCCUGUUGGGGUGGGUGGGCGUGGGGGCAUUGCCCCUGCAUCACCGUCACCACCUGCUCUGCUGAUCCUGCCCUGAGAGGUUCUGUGUGAAGUAAAGCCCCUUGAGCCCCAGGCCUGCAGAUUGUGAUUCAGUAGGCCUGAAAUUGGGCCUGGACACCCCAGGGUGUUGAGCUCAGUGGCUCUUGGGGCCCUCAGAAAAGGAGUGUCAUCAUGCAUCACUGUUGGGUUCCAGGAACCCCAAACCAGAAUUAGGUCCCCGGUGCCCCCUGGGUGAUGAUGUAUCCUGCUCCCAUUGUGGC
rnacentral:lncRNA from 1 species